CAGCCGCCGCGGUAAUACGAAGGGUGCAAGCGUUAAUCGGAAUUACUGGGCGUAAAGCGUGCGUAGGCGGUUUGUUAAGUCUGUUAUGAAAUCCCCGGGCUCAACCUGGGAAUGGCAAUGGAUACUGGCAAGCUAGAGUGUGUCAGAGGAUGGUGGAAUUCCCGGUGUAGCGGUGAAAUGCGUAGAGAUCGGGAGGAACAUCAGUGGCGAAGGCGGCCAUCUGGGACAACACUGACGCUGAGGCACGAAAGCGUGGGGAGCAAACAGGAUUAGAUACCCCAGUAGUCCCUGUCUCUUAUAC
rnacentral:rRNA from 1 species